rfam:Toxocara canis scaffold520, whole genome shotgun sequence.
UAGCUUAGUGGUAGAGCUCCAGCUUCGUGUGCGGGAAGAUCUGGGUUCGAUUCCCGG